rnacentral:lncRNA from 1 species
GGAAGGACUUUCCUUUUCUAAAAGCUCCAGCAACUGACACAGCCACAACCUCUUUGUCUCUGACAGCCUCCGAGAGGAGGAUGCGGUUGAGUGCAGCUUCAUCCAGUUCAAAAGAAUGGUCAUCCUUGACAAUGAGGACUUGCACCGGUCCUGCCUUCCUCACAGACUCCUCCUCCUCGGAGCUCCACUCGUAAGCCUUGUCUGCAAAGCUACCCCAGCUGCUCCUCUCCCUGCGGUUCCGGGCCAUGGCGCGGGGCGGCUCCGGGAGGCUCCGUGCGGGCUCCGAGCCGCGCUGCGUCUGGCGCGGCUGCCGCGGUGGAGCGGGGCGGGCGGGGGCGCCGGCAGCAUCCCCGCCCGCUACGGCGUAGCACGGCCCGGCCCGGCCCCGCGGGGAGCGCUGGCGGCGGGGGACGGCUGCUGCUGCACGCCCGUCCGCUCAGCCUGCGGGCAGCCGGGGAGCAAAAACGUGCGGCUCGAGGAUCGCACAGCGGUCGGCUCGAAGGGACCUCGCUACCCCACCCCUGCCCUCGGCUGCGUGCCCCCCGGCUCCGGCCGCCCACGGCCCAUCCACGGCCUCGGGCACCUCCAGGGAUGGGGCGCCCACAGCUGUGGGCAGUGCGGGGCCUCACCGCCCUCUGCAUGAAGAGUUUCCCCUCACAUCUAACCCAAAUCUCCCCUUUAGUUUAAAACCAU